ACACACACACGACAACCUUGUACCGCUUAGACACGAGACACACACCCCUAUACACACAGGGAGGGAGUCUCUCAAUCUCUCUCUCUCUCACACACACACACACACACACACCUAUACACACAGGGAGGGAGUCUCUCUCUCUCUCUCUCUCUCUCUCUCUCACCACACACACACACACACAAAACAGACACAAAUCGAGCCUCGCUUUUUCUGACUUAUUUUACUCGGAAGUUUCCAAAGACAGGGCGCUGUGAAGGAAUUUGCUGCUGGGAGAGCGGAGGAGGGAAAGGGAAACGCUUCUCCCGCCGCCGGCGGGAAGCCUUGGGUUCAGCAAAGCUGAAGGCAAGCGGAGGGAAAGGGAAGGCGGCUCCAGAAUCGGCGGGAAUGGGAGAGAGAGUUGAGGGAUCUCAUCUGCCGCCUCUCCCUCUCCCUCGCUCUCUCCCGCUUGUUUCCCAGUGCUCGCGUGACGUCUCGGCUCCCAAGAACGCGCAGCGGAGUCCCUGCUACUCCCACCAACGCGAGUCUUUACUAAGCGAAUCUCUUCGGACCCUCGCUCGCUCGCUUCUCCGAGACUCCUGAGAAGAGCAGACCCACAGAAGAAGUCCUACAUGGAUCUUAAACUGAAAUUAUGACCAAGAUUUUACAACAAGGGGAAUAAAAUGGCUGAAUCCUG